UCAACAGGGGAGCUCGCAGAAGCGGGCUGAGAGUGGGUUGUAUUGCCCUGACCCUUUAACCUGAUUUGGAUAAUGCCAACGUAGGGACAU
rnacentral:ncRNA from 1 species